CACCUUAUAGACAUCGAUAGAUUGACCCCUAGCCUCUCCCCUCCUAUGUACUUGUAGAGAUCUAAGGCAGCGUUUACACAGGCAGCCCAAUUCUGAUCUGUUAAACCAAUUAUUUACAAAAGAGCUGAUCUGUUUAAAUAACGUUAGCGCGUUGACUGGAAGUCUGUGGGUAUCUGCUAGCAUGCUAGUAGAUACCCAUCGACUUCCAGUCAACGCGCUAACGCUAUUUUAACAUUGGCUCACGAAAACUACCUCUAACUUCCUUCAUACUGGACACAGAGACAUAAAAAUGGUGUCCAUCUGACUCUGGGGAGGUAGACAAACAGCAUCAUUGUCAAAAUCCUGAAAUAUCCAUUUAAUAUGAUUGAUUGGAUCAAUAUGUAAUUGGCAUCUAAAGUUUUGGAUAAAAUGAUCAUGACGACUUUGAUAUAUUGAACGUUUUUGUUGCGUGUUUUAUUUCUAGCAGUGGGCAUCCAGGUGGAUAUGAUGGCCGUCCCGUUCCACCAUACCCCUUCCCCACAGGUGGUUUCCCUCCUCCUAUGACAGGUGGCUACCCUCCUCCUAUGCCAGGUGUGGUGUCUCCAUGGCCUCCUAUGAUGGACCAGUCUAAACAGUGGGACUACUACCCUCCAGGACCGGGACCAGGACCCAGACGGGAGGACAAGAGGGAGAAGGAGAGAGAGAGACCCAGGGAGAGACCACAUGAGAGGGAGAGGGAGAGAGAGCACAGCCCCUCCACUAUGGCUUACAACAGUGAUGAGGAGCGGUACCGCGGUUACCGGGAGUACCAGGCGGAGCGUGGCUACAGCGGCGGUGACCGUGGAGGAGGUGACCGUGGAGGGGGGGAGCGUGGAGGCGUAGACCGUGGGGGUGACCGUGGAGGGGGGGAGCGUGGUGGUGACCGUGGCAGUGGUGGUGAGCGUGGUGGUGGUGGAGGGGAGCGUCACAGAGAGAGGUCGAGCCGUGAGAAGGAAGAGAGACACAGAGAGAGAAGACACAGAGAGAAGGAGGAGGGGAGACACAAGUCAUCACGCAGGUACGACACACACACACACACACACACACACACACACACUCUAUUUCACCUCUUUGUUGUAUCAGAAUCAGAACUGUCUUCCUUUUCUCCCCCCUCUCUCUCUCCCCCUCACUCUCUCCCCCCUCACUCUCUCUCCCCCUCACUCUCUCUCCCCCUCUCUCUCUCUCCCCCUCUCUCUCUCUCCCCCUCUCUCUCUCUCCCCCUCUCUCUCUCUCCCCCUCUCUCUCUCUCCCCCUCUCUCUCUCUCCCCCUCUCUCUCACUCCCCCUCUCUCUCACUCUGAGCAGUAGCAGCAGGAGGAGACAUGAUAGUGAAGAAGGAGACGGUCACAGGAGACACAAACACAAGAAGAGCAAGAGAAGCAAGGAGGGCAAGGAACCUAGUGAUGACAUGGGAGGAGACCAGGAGAACCAGGACACCAUGGAGUGACGAAGAGAACACCCUCCUCUGCCUCUCUCUCCUCCGCAUCUCUCUCCCUCUGUUUCCCUCUAUACGUCCCUCCAUCUUUCUCCUCUCUCCAUCUCUCCUCUGUUUCCCUCUAUACGUCCCUCCAUCUUUCUCCUCUCUCCGUCUCCCUCUGUAUCCCUCUAUACGUCCCUCCAUCUUUCUCUCUCCAUCACUCCCUCGGAGCACUGUUGUAGUUGAUCAUGCUCAGAGAUUGUUGUUGUUUACCCGUUCCCUUCGUAGUCAUGACGAUCAUAAACAACCCUCAUCUUCUGUCAUUUAUUUUCGUCCCUCUAUUUUCUUAACCAAACACCUCGCUGAAAGAUGUCAAUUUGUUGAAUUAAAAAACAAGCUUUUGAUAACUUCUGUGUGUUGGGUGGUUUCUGUGUGAGGCUGGGUGGUUUCAUAGAGGCUAAAGUACAAGCCAUAAGGGGUACAUAGAGACUACAUGACAAGUCAUGUCAUACAGUGCAUUCGGAAAGUAUUCAGACACCUUGACUUUUUCCAAAUUUUGUUACGUUACAACCUUAUUCUAAAAUGGAUUCAAUUGUUUUUUCCCCUCAUCAAUACACACACAAUACCCCAUAAUGACAUCACAAUACCCCAUAAUGACAUCACAAACACCCCAUAAUGACAUCACAAACACCCCAUAAUGACAUCAAACACCCCAUAAUGACAUCAAACACCCCAUAAUGACAUCACAAACACCCCAUAAUGACAUCACAAACACCCCAUAAUGACAUCACAAACACCCCAUAAUGACAAAGCAAAACAGUUUAGAAAUGUUAGAAAACUGACAUCACAUUUACAUAAGUAUUCAGACCCUUUACUCAGUACUUUGUUGAAGCACCUUUGGCAGUGAUUACAGCCUUGAGUCUUCUUAGGUAUGACGCUACAAGGUCGGCACACCUGUAUUUGGGGAGUUUCUCCCAUUCUUCUCUGCAGAUCCUCUCAAGCUCUGUCAGGUUGGAUGGAGAGACUGGUAGACUGGAUUACUGUAAAA
rnacentral:lncRNA from 1 species